rnacentral:rRNA from 1 species
UUCGCCCUUAGAGUUUGAUCCUGGCUCAGGACGAACGCUGGCGGCGUGCUUAACACAUGCAAGUCGAACGAGAAUCACUGGAAGGAGUUUUCGGACAACGGAAGGUGAGGACAGUGGCGGACGGGUGAGUAACGCGUGAGGAACCUGCCUUUCAGAGGGGGACAACAGUUGGAAACGACUGCUAAUACCGCAUGACACAUAGAGAUCGCAUGGUUUUUAUGUCAAAGAUUUAUCGCUGAAAGAUGGCCUCGCGUCUGAUUAGCUAGUUGGUGAGGUAACGGCCCACCAAGGCGACGAUCAGUAGCCGGACUGAGAGGUUGACCGGCCACAUUGGGACUGAGAUACGGCCCAGACUCCUACGGGAGGCAGCAGUGGGGAAUAUUGGGCAAUGGGCGCAAGCCUGACCCAGCAACGCCGCGUGAAGGAAGAAGGCUUUCGGGUUGUAAACUUCUUUUGUCGGGGACGAGUAGAAGACGGUACCUGGCGAAUAAGCCACGGCUAACUACGUGCCAGCAGCCGCGGUAAUACGUAGGUGGCAAGCGUUGUCCGGAUUUACUGGUGUAAAGGGCGUGUAGCCGGGAAGGCAAGUCAGAUGUGAAAUCCACGGGCUUAACUCGUGAACUGCAUUUGAAACUACUUUUCUUGAGUAUCGGAGAGGCAAUCGGAAUUCCUAGUGUAGCGGUGAAAUGCGUAGAUAUUAGGAGGAACACCAGUGGCGAAGGAGGAUUGCUGGACGACAACUGACGGUGAGGCGCGAAAGCGUGGGGAGCAAACAGGAUUAGAUACCCUGGUAGUCCACGCUGUAAACGAUGAAUACUAGGUGUGCGGGGACUGACCCCCUGCGUGCCGCAGUUAACACAAUAAGUAUUCCACCUGGGGAGUACGAUCGCAAGGUUGAAACUCAAAGGAAUUGACGGGGGCCCGCACAAGCGGUGGAUUAUGUGGUUUAAUUCGACGCAACGCGAAGAACCUUACCAGGGCUUGACAUCCUACUAACGAAGUAGAGAUACAUCAGGUGCCCUUCGGGGAAAGUAGAGACAGGUGGUGCAUGGUUGUCGUCAGCUCGUGUCGUGAGAUGUUGGGUUGAGUCCCGCAACGAGCGCAACCCUUAUCCUUAGUAGCCAGCACAUGAUGGUGGGCACUCUAGGGAGACUGCCGGGGAUAACCCGGAGGAAGGCGGGGACGACGUCAAAUCAUCAUGCCCCUUACGAUUCGGGCUACACACGUGCUACAAUGGCGUAAACAAAGGGAAGCGAGACAGCGAUGUUGAGCGAAUCCCAAAAAUAACGUCCCAGUUCGGACUGCAGUCUGCAACUCGACUGCACGAAGCUGGAAUCGCUAGUAAUCGCGGAUCAGAAUGCCACGGUGAAUACGUUCCCGGGUCUUGCACACACCGCCCGUCA